GAUGAACGCUGGCGGCGUGCCUAAUACAUGCAAGUCGAGCGAACAGAUGAGGAGCUUGCUCCUCUGACGUUAGCGGCGGACGGGUGAGUAACACGUGGAUAACCUACCUAUAAGACUGGGAUAACUUCGGGAAACCGGAGCUAAUACCGGAUAAUAUAUUGAACCGCAUGGUUCAAUAGUGAAAGACGGUUUUGCUGUCACUUAUAGAUGGAUCCGCGCCGCAUUAGCUAGUUGGUAAGGUAACGGCUUACCAAGGCAACGAUGCGUAGCCGACCUGAGAGGGGGAUCGGCCACACUGGAACUGAGACACGGUCCAGACUCCUAAGGGAGGCAGCAGUAGGGAAUCGGCCGCAAUGGGCGAAAGCCUGACGGAGCAACGCCGCGUGAGUGAUGAAGGUCUUCGGAUCGUAAAACUCUGUUAUUAGGGAAGAACAAAUGUGUAAGUAACUAUGCACGUCUUGACGGUACCUAAUCAGAAAGCCACGGCUAACUACGUG
rnacentral:rRNA from 1 species